UGGGAAACCUACCUCUUAGCAGGGGAUAACAUUUGGAAACAAAUGCUAAUACCGUAUAAUAAUUAAAACCGCAUGGUUUUAGUUUAAAAGAUGGUCUUGCUAUCACUAAGAGAUGGUCCCGCGGUGUAUUAGUUAGUUGGUGAGGUAAUGGCUCACCAAGACAAUGAUACAUAGCCGAGUUGAGAGACUGACCGGCCACAAUGGGACUGAGACACGGCCCAUACUCCUACGGGAGGCAGCAGUAGGGAAUCUUCCACAAUGGACGAAAGUCUGAUGGAGCAACGCCGCGUGUGUGAUGAAGGGUUUCGGCUCGUAAAACACUGUUGUAAGAGAAGAAUGACAUUGAGAGUAACUGUUCAAUGUGUGACGGUAUCUUACCAGAAAGGAACGGCUAAAUACGUGCCAGCAGCCGCGGUAAUACGUAUGUUCCAAGCGUUAUCCGGAUUUAUUGGGCGUAAAGCGAGCGCAGACGGUUAUUUAAGUCUGAAGUGAAAGCCCUCGGCUCAACCGAGGAAUUGCUUUGGAAACUGGAUAACUUGAGUGCAGUAGAGGAAAGUGGAACUCCAUGUGUAGCGGUGAAAUGCGUAGAUAUAUGGAAGAACACCAGUGGCGAAGGCGGCUUUCUGGACUGUAACUGACGUUGAGGCUCGAAAGUGUGGGUAGCAAACAGGAUUAGAUACCCUGGUAGCCCACACUGUAAACGAUGAGUGCUAGUUGUUUGAGGGUUUCCGCCCUUGAGUGACGAAGCUAACGCAUUAAGCACUCCGCCUGGGGAGUACGACCGCAAGGUUGAAACUCAAAGGAAUUGACGGGGACCCGCACAAGCGGUGGAGCAUGUGUUUAUUUCGAAGCAACGCGAA
rnacentral:rRNA from 1 species